GCUUACGUUCACACUACCCUGAGAACACCCGAUCUCGUCUGAUCUCGGAAGCUAAGCAGGGUUUGGCCUGGUUAGUACUUGCAUGGGAGACCACCUGUGAAAACCAGGUGCUGUAAGCU
ensembl:rRNA 5S_rRNA 5S ribosomal RNA